rnacentral:ncRNA from 1 species
CGUCAAUUACUGCACCGACUGAUCACCGGUGGCUCACCGGUACUUGACGGGACAACCGAAUAACAACAGCUGCCUUUUGAGCGGGAAGCUGCAGACCCGAACGGAGUAAGCCUCCAUCGGCCUGCGGUAGGUGUCCUAUUGCCUUUUUGCAGCUGAC